rnacentral:rRNA from 1 species
AUUGAACGCUGGCGGCAUGCCUUACACAUGCAAGUCGAACGGCAGCACGGGUGCUUGCACCUGGUGGCGAGUGGCGAACGGGUGAGUAAUACAUCGGAACAUGUCCUGUAGUGGGGGAUAGCCCGGCGAAGGCCGGAUUAAUACCGCAUACGAUCUACGGAUGAAAGCGGGGGACCUUCGGGCCUCGCGCUAUAGGGUUGGCCGAUGGCUGAUUAGCUAGUUGGUGGGGUAAAGGCCUACCAAGGCGACGAUCAGUAGCUGGUCUGAGAGGACGACCAGCCACACUGGAACUGAGACACGGCCCAGACUCCUACGGGAGGCAGCAGUGGGGAAUUUUGGACAAUGGGCGAAAGCCUGAUCCAGCAAUGCCGCGUGUGUGAAGAAGGCCUUCGGGUUGUAAAGCACUUUUGUCCGGAAAGAAAUCCUUGGCCCUAAUACGGUCGGGGGAUGACGGUACCGGAAGAAUAAGCACCGGCUAACUACGUG